rnacentral:tRNA from 1 species
GGGCAUGUAGCUCAGUUGGUUAGAGCACCACGCUUAUAACGUGGGGGUCGAUGGUUCAAGUCCAUCCAUGCCUACCA